rnacentral:rRNA from 1 species
AGAGCGUAGAGAAAGCUUGCUUUUUCUACAAUCUAGUGGCAAACGGGUGAGUAACGCGUAAACAACCUGCCUUACGGAUGGGGACAACAGCUGGAAACGGCUGCUAAUACCGAAUACGUUCCGGAAGUCGCAUGACUAUCAGAAGAAAGGAUGGCCUCUAUUUAUAAGCUAUCGCCGGAGGAGGGGUUUGCGUCUGAUUAGCUAGUUGGAGGGGUAACGGCCCACCAAGGCGACGAUCAGUAGCCGGUCUGAGAGGAUGAACGGCCACAUUGGAACUGAGACACGGUCCAGACUCCUACGGGAGGCAGCAGUGGGGAAUCUUCCGCAAUGGGCGAAAGCCUGACGGAGCAACGCCGCGUGAGUGAAGACGGCCUUCGGGUUGUAAAGCUCUGUUAUACGGGACGAAUAGUCUUGUGGUUAAUACCCAUGAGAAGUGACGGUACUGUAAGAGAAAGCCACGGCUAACUACGUGCCAGCAGCCGCGGUAAUACGUAGGUGGCAAGCGUUGUCCGGAAUUAUUGGGCGUAAAGGGCGCGCAGGCGGCUUCUUAAGUCUGUCUUAAAAGUGCGGGGCUUAACCCCGUGAUGGGAUGGAAACUGGGAAGCUCAGAGUAUCGGAGAGGAAAGCGGAAUUCCUAGUGUAGCGGUGAAAUGCGUAGAUAUUAGGAGGAACACCAGUGGCGAAAGCGGCUUUCUGGACGAAAACUGACGCUGAGGCGCGAAAGCCAGGGGAGCGAACGGGAUUAGAUACCCCGGUAGUCCUGGCCGUAAACGAUGGGUACUAGGUGUAGGAGGUAUCGACCCCUUCUGUGCCGGA